AUACCUUAGGUUAAGAUAAACAAAGAACCUUGGAUCACUUUCAACAGUUACAUAAGGUAGCUCAAAUGGUAGAGCGCUCGCUUUGCAUGAGAGAGGCACAGGGUUUGAUCCUCUGCAUCUCCAAUUAACUUUUGCUUAUUUUUGUACUCCUCCCAUGUAAUAUACUCAAUAAUUUCCGCAGUGGUCAGUCAAACUAUAUCAGUGAUUGGGAGUUGUUACCAGUUCUAACAACAAACACAUCAAAGACAUCUUUUUCAAUCUUAUUAACUGCCCAAGUGCUUACUUUAAUAAUGCUGCUAUUGCCAAAUUUGGUUGGAAAAUUAUUAAGGAACUAGAAAAUUGGUGGGCUCAGAUUAUGAGGAAAAAAUAUUGGGAAAAUGCCCUAAUUCCCAAAUAUUUGAAAACUAAAGCCCAUUCCAAUGAUAAUAAGAUUCUUGACCCCAAUUAAAUGAAAAAGAGACUUAUUUGUGCCUAAAUACAAAAAUCUUUAUUAAAUUCAUAAUAAAAUAAUAUUUUAAAGACAUUUUUACCCUUGAUCUUUAUAUAUAUGCUUAGAGAGAGAAAGUGUAAGAGAGAGCGAGAGAAAAGACUUUGUCGGCAGCUCAUCGGAUCUCUGGACACCGGUCGUCAGACUCCAGACUCUGGUCACCGGACUCAGUUACUGACCCUCAGUAACUCGGUUACUCCGGCGACCGAUCGCCGAAACUCGGUUACUGACCCCCAGUAACUCGGUUACUGACCCUAGAAAUUUAGUUACUGACCGAAUAAACUUAGUUACUGACCCCCAGUAACUUGGUUACUCCGACGACCGAUCGUCGGAACUCAGUUACUGACCCAAAAAACUCAGUUAUGGACCUCAGAAAUUCAGUUAUUGACAAAAAAAAACUCAGUUACUGACCCCCAGUAACUCAGUUACUCCGGCGACCGAUCACCGGAACUUAGUUUCUGACCCCAAAAACUCGGUUACUGACCCCAAAAAUUCAGUUACUGACCUAAAAAAUUUAGUUACUAAGCCCCAAUAAUCGGUUACUGACCCCCAGUAAUCCCCAGUAACUCGAUUAGUGACCCCAGUAAACCCCCGUAACUCAGUUACUGAUCCCCAGUAAUCAACUUAUUGGCUCUAAAUGUUGUAGAAACUCGGUUUCUAACCCUUAAAAACUAACUUUCAGACCCUAGAAACCCCGUUACCGCCCCCCAAAUGCAUAAAAGCCCACCAACAAACAUCAUACUUCCAUUUCAUCUUCAUUGUUGCCGACAUUCAAUAUUCAACAUAAUAUAACUACCACAAUAAUGAUUCUUCUCAGUAAUACAAGAAAAAAAAUGUCACAGUAACCAAUACUAACCAAUACAUUCAACAUUCAACAAGUAAAAUACACAAAUCCAACCAAAAUUCCCAAUAACAGAAAAANNN
rnacentral:lncRNA from 1 species